rnacentral:rRNA from 1 species
UACAGAGGUCUCAAGCGUUGUUCGGAUUCAUUGGGCGUAAAGGGUGUGUAGGUGGCGCCGUAAGUCGGGUGUGAAAUUUCGGAGCUUAACUCCGAAACUGCAUUCGAUACUGCGGUGCUUGAGGACUGGAGAGGAGACUGGAAUUCAUGGUGUAGCAGUGAAAUGUGUAGAGAUCAUGAGGAAGACCAGUGGCGAAGGCGGGUCUCUGGACAGUUCCUGACACUGAGACACGAAGGCCAGGGGAGCAAACGGG